rnacentral:rRNA from 1 species
AACGGCCGUACCAUGCUGAAUAUACCGGUUCUCGUUAGAUCACCGAAGUCAAGCAUCAUUGAGCGCGGUCAGUACUUGGGUGGGUGACCACCUGGGAACACCGCGUGGCGU